GGACUCGUGCCUGAAACAAAGGACUACUUUGAUAGAGUAGAUAAUGUGGGCUAAAACCCCUCGGACUCCU
rnacentral:tRNA from 1 species